rnacentral:rRNA from 1 species
UGCCCAAGAGACUGGGAUAACACCUGGAAACAGAUGCUAAUACCGGAUAACAACACUAGACGCAUGUCUAGAGUUUAAAAGAUGGUUCUGCUAUCACUCUUGGAUGGACCUGCGGUGCAUUAGCUAGUUGGUAAGGCAACGGCUUACCAAGGCAAUGAUGCAUAGCCGAGUUGAGAGACUGAUCGGCCACAUUGGGACUGAGACACGGCCCAAACUCCUACGGGAGGCAGCAGCA